AGAGUUUGAUCCUGGCUCAGAAUCAACGCUGGCGGCGUGCGUAACACAUGCAAGUCGAACGAGAAAGCGGGGGCAACCCUGUGAGUAAAGUGGCAGACGGGUGAGUAACACGUGAACAAUCUACCCUCGAGCUGGGAAUAACCCCGCGAAAGCGGGGCUAAUACCUUGUGACAUCUUCGGGUCGCAUGGUCCGGAGAUUAAAGGUUUCGGCCGCUUGAAGAGGAGUUCGCGCCUGAUUAGCUAGUUGGUGAGGUAACGGCCCACCAAGGCAACGAUCAGUAGCCGGCCUGAGAGGGCGUACGGCCACACUGGAACUGAGACACGGUCCAGACUCCUACGGGAGGCAGCAGUGGGGAAUUUUGCGCAAUGGGCGAAAGCCUGACGCAGCAACGCCGCGUGGAGGAUGAAGGCCUUCGGGUCGUAAACUCCUGUCAGUAGGGACGAAUGCUUCGAAAGAAGUUUGACUGUACCUGCUGAGGAAGCCACGGCUAACUCCGUGCCAGCAGCCGCGGUAAUACGGAGGUGGCAAGCGUUGUUCGGAAUUAUUGGGCGUAAAGGGCGCGUAGGCGGCUUUGCAAGUCAGAUGUGAAAGCCCCGGGCUUAACUCGGGAAUUGCAUCUGAAACUGCUUAGCUUGAGUCCUGGAGGGGGUAGUGGAAUUCCCAGUGUAGCGGUGAAAUGCGUAGAUAUUGGGAGGAACACCGGCGGCGAAGGCGGCUACCUGGACAGUGACUGACGCUGAGGCGCGAAAGCUAGGGGAGCGAACGGGAUUAGAUACCCCGGUAGUCCUAGCCGUAAACGAUGGGCACUUGGUGUUGGGGGUAUUGAGUCCCCCGGUGCCGGAGUUAACACGUUAAGUGCCCCGCCUGGGGAGUACGGUCGCAAGACUGAAACUCAAAGGAAUUGACGGGGGCCCGCACAAGCGGUGGAGCAUGUGGUUCAAUUCGACGCAACGCGAAGAACCUUACCGAGGCUCGAACGGUAACUGCAAUUCUUGGAAACAGGAAGUUCUCUUCGGAGACGGUUAUCGAGGUGCUGCAUGGCUGUCGUCAGCUCGUGUCGUGAGAUGUUGGGUUAAGUCCCGCAACGAGCGCAACCCUUGCCCUUAGUUGCCAUCAGGUUAUGCUGGGCACCCUAAGGGAACUGUCGGCGAAAAGCCGGAGGAAGGUGGGGAUGACGUCAAGUCCUCAUGGCCCUUACGUCUCGGGCUACACACGUGCUAC
rnacentral:rRNA from 1 species